GGUUGCGAUCAUACCAGCACUAAUGCACCGUAUCCCAUCAGAACUCCGCAGUUAAGCGUGCUUGGGCGAGAGUAGUACUAGGAUGGGUGACCCCCUGGGAAGUCCUCGUGUUGCAACCC
rnacentral:rRNA from 1 species